UACGUAGGUGGCGAGCGUUGUCCGGAUUUACUGGGCGUAAAGGGCGUGCAGGCGGUUUGCUAGGUCUAGGGUGAAAGCUCCCGGCUUAACUGGGAGAGGUCCUUGGAUACUGGCAGACUUGAGGAGGGUAGAGGAGAGUGGAAUUCCCGGUGUAGUGGUGAUAUGCGUAGAUAUCGGGAGGAACACCAGUGGCGAAGGCGGCUCUCUGGGCCCUACCUGACGCUGAGACGCGAAAGCGUGGGGAGCGAACCGG
rnacentral:rRNA from 1 species